rnacentral:rRNA from 1 species
AACGAACGCUGGCGGCGUGCCUAACACAUGCAAGUCGAGGGAGAAAAGGGGCUUCGGCUCCCGAGUAAACCGGCGCACGGGUGAGUAACACGUAGGUAACGUACCUUGGAGUCCGGGAUAACCAGUCGAAAGAUUGGCUAAUACCGGAUACGACUGCAGCAGCUCCGGCUGCAGCAGUGAAAGAUGGCCUCUGUUUACAAGCUAUCACUCCUGGAUCGGCCUGCGCACCAUUAGCUAGUUGGUGAGGUAAUGGCUCACCAAGGCUGAGAUGGUUAGCUGGUCUGAGAGGAUGGCCAGCCACACUGGGACUGAGACACGGCCCAGACUCCUACGGGAGGCAGCAGUGGGAAUAUUGCGCAAUGGGCGAAAGCCUGACGCAGCGACGCC